UAUGUGUGUGUGUGUGUGUGUGUGUAGAAAUAAUUAAUAUUCAGUUGAAUUAGGUAUUGAAGUUGAAGGACCAAGU